AUUCCAGCUCCAAUAGCGUAUACUAAUGUUGUUGCAGUUAAAAAGCUCGUAGUUGGAUUUCUGGUUGUUUAGCUUAUGGUCCGUCUCUUUUAUGGGUCGUGUAUCGUUUUUGCUGACACCAUCUUAGUAGUGAGCCCUAUUGGCAUUAGGUUGUCGAUUGGAGGAGCUGCUUCGUUUACUGUGAUAACAAAUAGAGUGUUCAAAGCAGACAUUACGUCUUGAAUGCUUCAGCAUGGAAUAAAAAGAUAGGACUUAUGGCACUAUUUUAUUGGUAUGUAUGCCUAGUAAUGAUUAAUAGGGAUGGUUGGGGGUAUUCAUAUUUGAUUGUCAGAGGUGAAAUUCUUGGAUUUAUGAAAGACGAACUUAUGCGAAAGCAUUUAUCAAGGAUGUUUUCAUUG
rnacentral:rRNA from 1 species